CGAUGCCUAUGUACCAUGAAAGAGAUUUUAAUAUAUAUUAAAACAAAUGUUGAAUGUGUUUAGAAAUUUUAAAACAAUUUUAAAGAUCAUAGGCUUCAGUAUAUAAAGCAUUUACUGAAAUACUCAAUAUUUUCGUAGGGGUUAGCACAUAGAUUUUGAGAAGAAACCAAAAAUUUGACAAAAGUGUUUUAAUGCAUAGGUGCAUCCUGCACUAACAUAUGAUGCAGGUCAAAGAGGUUUGGAACCAUUGUUGUCUUCGUCUCUCUAGAGAAUAUCGAUUAAAUAGUGGUUAGACCACCAAUUUAGGGAGUAUUAUGAAGUUAUACUAAAUUAAUUUUUGAAAAAUUAAAACGAUGCCUAUGUAGCAUGAAAGAUAGUUUAAUAUAUAUUAAUACAUAUGUAUAAUGUGUUUAGAAAUUUUAAAACAAUAUUAAAGAUCAUAGGCUUCAGUAUAUAGAAUAUUUUCCAAAAAACUCAAUAUUUUCGUAGGGUUUUGCACAUAUAUUUUGAGAAAAAAUAAAAAAAUUGACAAUAAUGUUUUAAUGCAUAGUUGCAUCCUGCACUAACAUAUGAUGAAGGUCAAAGAGGUUUGGAACCGUUGUUGUCUCCGUCUCUCUAGAGAAUAGCGAUUAUAUAGUGGUUAGACCACUAAUUUAGAGAGUAUUAUGAAAUUUUACUAAAUUAAUAUAUAAAAAAUAAAAACGAUGCCUAUGUAGCAUGAAAGAUAGUUUUAUAUACAUUAAUACAGAUGUAUGAUGUGUUUAGCAAUUUUAAAACAACACUAAAGAUCAUAGGUUUCAAUAUAUAUAAUGUUUUAAUGCAUUUUGCAUCCUGCACUAACAUAUGAUGAAUGUCAAAGAGGUUUGGAAGCUUUGUUGUCUCCGUUUCUCUUGAGAAUAGCCCUUUAAAAUGGUUAAUCCACCAAUUUAGGGAAUAUUAUAUGAAGUUUACUAUAUUAAUUUAUAAGAAAUUAGAACUAUGUCCAUGUAUCAUGAAAGAAAGUAUAAUAGACAUUAAUACAGAUGUAUAAUGUGUUUUAAAAUUGUAAAUCAGCACUGAAGAUCAUAUGCUUAAGUAUAUAAAGUAUUUACCGAAAAACUCAAUAUUUCGUAGGGGUUAACACAUAGAUUUUGAGAAAAACUCAAAAAUAUGAAAAUAAUGUUUUAAUGCAUAGUUUCAUCCUGCACUAACAUAUGAUGAAGGUCAAAGAGUUUGGAACCUUUGUUGUCUCCGUUUCUCUUGAGAAUAGGCAUUUUAUAGUGGUUAAUCCACCAAUAUAGAGAAUAUUAUGAAUUUUAUUAAGUUAAUUAAUAAGAAUUUAAAACGAUGCCUAUGUACCAUGAAAGAGAGUUUAAUAUAUAUUAAACAAAAUGUUGAAUGUGUUUAGAAAUUUUAAAACAAUAUUAAAGAUCAUAGGCUUCAGUAUAUAAAGCAUUUACCGAAAAACUCAAUAUUUUCGUAGGGGGUUAACACAUAGAUUUUGAAAAAAUUUCAAAAAUAUGACAAUACUGUUUAAAUGCAUAGUUGCAUCCUGCACUAACAUAUGAUGAAUGUCAAAGAGGUUUGGAACCUUUGUUGUCUCCGUUUCUCUAGAGAAUAUCGAUUUUAUAGUGGUUAGUCCACCAAUUUAGGGAGUAUUAUGAAAGGUUACUAAAUUAAUUGAUCAAAAAUUAAAACGAUGUCCAUGUGCCAUGAAAGAAAGUUUAAUAUGCAUUAAUACAAAUGUAUAAUGUGUUAGAAAUUGUAAAACAACUCUAAAGAUCAUAGGCUUCAGUAUAUAGUGUGUUUACCGAAAAACUCAAUAUUUUCAUAGGGUUAACUCAUAGAUUUUGGAAAAAACUCAAAAAUAUGACAAUACUGUUUAAAUGUAUUGUUGCAUCAUGCACUAACAUAUGAUGAAUAUCAAAGAGGUUUGGAAACUUUGUUUUCUAUGUUUCUCUUGAGAAUAGCCUUUUUAAAAUAAUUAAUCCACUAAUUUAGGGAAUAUUAUGAAGUUUACUAUAUUAAUUGAUAAGAAAUUAGAAAGAUGUCCAUGUAUCAUAAAAGAAAAUUUAAUAUAUAUUAAUACAAAUAUAGAAUGUAUUUAGAACUUUUAAAACAAUAUUAAAGAUCAUAGGUUUUAGUAUAUAGUGCAUUUACAAAAAAACUCAAUAUUUUUGUAUGAGUUACCACAUAGAUUUUGAUAAAAAAAUCAAAAUUUGACAAUAGUGUUUUAAUGCAUAAGUGCAUCAUGCACUAACUUAUGAUGAAGGUGAAAGAGCUUUGUGACAUUUGUUGUCUCUGUUUCUCUAGAUAAUAGCGAUUAUAUAGUGGUUAGACCACCAAUUUAGGGAGUAUUAUGAACUUUUACUAAAUUAAUAGAUAAAAAUAUUAGAAAGACGCCUAUGUACCAUGAAAUGAAAGAAAGUUUAAUAUAUAUUAAAACAAAUGUAGAAUAUGUUUAGAAAUUUUAAAACAAUAUUAAAGAUCAUAGGCUUCAGUAUAUAAAGCAUUUACCGAAAAACUCAAUAUUUUCGUAGGGGUUAUAGCACAUAGAUUUUGAGAAAAAAU